AAAGUCGUAACAAGGUUUCCGUAGGUGAACCUGCGGAAGGAUCAUUACUGAUUUGGCGGACCGAGCGUCAGCGAGGUUCCGCGAUCACUUGUAUUUAAAACCCAACUUUGAAUGUAAUAUGUAUAUUUUUGUAAUAAUAAAAAAAGAUCACUUUCAACAACGGAUCUCUUGGCUCUC
rnacentral:misc_RNA from 1 species